rnacentral:rRNA from 1 species
UACGUAGGGUGCAAGCGUUAAUCGGAAUUACUGGGCGUAAAGCGUGCGCAGGCGGUUAUGUCAAGACAGUAUGUGAAAUCCCCGGGCUCAACCUGGGAACUUGCAUCUGUGACUGCAUAGCUAGAGUACGGUAGAGGGGGAUGGAAUUCCGCGUGUAGCAGUGAAAUGCGUAGAUAUGCGGAGGAACACCGAUGGCGAAGGCAAUCCCCUGGACCUGUACUGACGCUCAUGCACGAAAGCGUGGGGAGCAAACAGG